rnacentral:rRNA from 1 species
UACAGAGGUGCCGAGCGUUAGGCGGAAUCACUGGGCUUAAAGCGUGUGUAGGCGGAUGCCUAAGUACCUUGUGAAAAUCCCCACAGCUCAACUGUGGAACUGCUUGGUAUACUGGGUGUCUUGAGCCACUUAGGGGUUACCGGAACAAAUGGUGGAGCGGUGAAAAUGCGUAGAUAUCAUUUGGAACGCCAAUGGUGAAAACAGGUAACUGGGAGUGUGCUGACGCUGAGAC